AUAGCGUAUAUUAAAGUUGUUGCAGUUAAAAAGCUCGUAGUUGAAUUUCGGGAUCAAUGCGUCGGUCGUGCCUUCGGUACGUACUAGCGUCGUUGAUUCCUCCCUUCUGAAGAACCGUGAUGUCAUUAAUUUGGUGUUACGGGGAAUCAGGACUGUUACCUUGAAAAAAUUAGAGUGUUUAAAGCAGGCUAACGCUUGAAUACAUUAGCAUGGAAUAAUGAAAUAGGACGUUCGAACCUAUUUUGUUGGUUUCUAGGAUCGACGUAAUGAUUAAUAGGGAUAGUUGGGGGCAUUAGUAUUCAAUUGUCAGAGGUGAAAUUCUUGGAUUUAUUGAAGACUAACUACUG
rnacentral:rRNA from 1 species